GUGAGGAAUAUUGCGCAAUGGAGGCAACUCUGACGCAGCCAUGCCGCGUGCAGGAAGAAGGCGCUACGCGUUGUAAACUGCUUUUAACCGGGAAGAAACCCCAGGACGUGUCCUGGGUUGACGGUACCGGAGGAAUAAGCACCGGCUAACUUCGUGCCAGCAGCCGCGGUAAUACGAAGGGUGCAAGCGUUAUCCGGAUUCAUUGGGUUUAAAGGGUGCGUAGGCGGAGCGUUAAGUCAGUGGUGAAAUCCUGCAGCUUAACUGUAGACUUGCCAUUGAUACUGGCGCUCUUGAGUGCGCUUGAAGUGGGCGGAAUGUGCCGUGUAGCGGUGAAAUGCUUAGAUAUGGCACAGAACACCAAUUGCGAAGGCAGCUCACUAAGGCGAUACUGACGCUGAGGCACGAAAGCGUGGGGAGCAAACAGGAUUAGAUACCCGGGUAUCC
rnacentral:rRNA from 1 species